rnacentral:lncRNA from 1 species
GGGACCUUCCUAGCGGCCCCUUCGCAAUAAGACUCUGUCCUGACUCCUACGGGAGUCGGACUUCAUCCCCGACUUCGAAUGCUGGUAAGCUCCGUCCGGACUCCUACGGGAGUCGAAUUUUGCCUCUGACUUCAAUUGCAGGUUGACUCCAUCCGGACUCCCACGGGAGCUGGACUUCGCCCAGACUUCACCUACGGGAGCUGGACUCUCGCAGCCCCAC